GCCGGUGUGAUGGAAUUGGUAGACAUACCGGACUUAAAAUCCGGAGAGGGAAACCUCGUGCCAGUUCGAGUCUGGCCACCGGCACCA
rnacentral:tRNA from 4 species